AUGCUUGAUGAAUACAAAACGCCUCGUCGUUUCUGGAUUGAUUCAAUUGAUACUGCAUGCCACAUCAUCAACAGAGUAUAUCUUCACAAAUUCUUCAAGAAGACUGCCUAUGAACUCCUCACUGACAAGAAACCCAAUGUGAGUUAUUUCAAAGUCUUCGAUGCUAAAUGCUGGAUUAGAGAUCCUCAUCACAACUCUAAAUUUGCACCGAAAGCCCAUGAAGGUUUUAUGCUUGGUUACGGAAAGGACUCGCACACCUACAGAGUCUUCAACAACGUUCUUCACAAGGUUGUUGAAACUGUAGAUGUGUGA
rnacentral:rRNA from 1 species